GCAUGGGGGAACCCUGAUGCAGCGACGCCGCGUGNGAGGAAGAAGGUUUUCGGAUUGUAAACUCCUGUUCGUUNGGGACGCAUAAUGACGGUACCUAACNAGCAANNCACCGGCUAACUACNUGCCNGCAUCCNCGGUAAAACGUANGGUGCAAGCGUUGUCCGGAAUUACUGGGUGUAAAGGGAGCGCAGGCGGGAAGACAAGUUGGAAGUGAAAACCAUGGGCUCNACCCNUGAAUUGCUUUCNNAACUGUUUUUCUUGAGUAGUGCAAANGUAGAUGGAAUUCCCGGUGUAGCGGUGGAAUGCGUAGAUAUCGGGAGGAACACCAGUGGCNAAGGCGGUCUACUGGGCACCNACUGACGCUGAGGCUCUAAAGCAUGGGUAGCANACAGGAUUANAUACCUGGUANUCCAAGGGCGAAUUC
rnacentral:rRNA from 1 species